GGUUGUUGCUGUAGCACAACAGUUGUGUUGUUAGUGCUCUGCUGCUGCAUGAAGCCAGGAUGUGUCAUUGGCUGUUGUUGCAUGCCGCCAGGCUGUGGCAUUGGCUGUUGUUGCAUAGGUUGUCCUGGAUAUGGUUGGGUGUAAUGUGGAGGGGUAUCCAUUUUAUCAUUAUACCCUGGUUCUAAUGUUGGAUUGUACAUUUUGGUAUUGGACACUGAACUAAAUAAACAUAAGUUGAACUAAAAGAGUGGGUUAGUGAGUUGUAGUCAUGUAUGGAGGGGAUAAUGAAAUGUGGUGAUGUAUUGAGUAGAAUGGUUAGUGGUAAUAGUGUAUGGAAUGGGAUAGUAAGUGGUCGGUAGUGUCAAGUACUUCAUUACAAGUAACUAUAGCUAUUCUUAAGUUGUUAUUCGUGAAAUGUUUUUUAACGUAAUAAAAAAAUAAUAAAAGAAAACAAAAAACUCGUCGUUUAAAUUAAAUGCGCAUUAGCGAUAGUGCUUUUGCGAAAUUAUGAUUACAAACGAUAAAAGACGUAAAACUAAAAAGUGUCAAGCUACAAAUGCUGUAUAGACAGGUUGUUACAUCACAUUGAAUCAUUUUAAAAGUUGGAAGUUCGUCAAUCUAAAUGCCAUGAGCAUCUAAUUCACGUUCCAUUUGGCACAUAGCACAAGCUCCCCAGUUAGACAAAACACAGUUAUCUUCCCAGAUACUUCCCUAAAGAAAAAGACAAAAUUUCAUAUAGUUUCAAUGCCAAAAAUGUCCAACUUGUUGACAUAAAAAAAACAGUAUUUUAAAGAAAAGAGAAGAAGUCAAAUGAUGUUUAACCAACCUUAAUUCAAAAAAAAACAACAAUUUGUUUUAACUUACUUUAAUAUUAUGUUUUGUUCUGAUCUUGGUUCUCAGAGCAACUGGACACAUCAAAGCAACACAACAGCAUUCACCAGCUUUGCCACUUACAAUUAUCCUGUGAAUAACUGGGCAAAAACAUCCAAGUAAACCUUCAACAAUACAAAAAAUUUAUCUUAAAUAGUCAUACCUAACAACAGCGAUAAAACAUGUUAUAUAUAA